UUUCUAAUACUACUUCCAUUUUGUUGUUUAGAGCAUUCCUAUAGCGACUCCAGGUCAUUUAUGACCUACUGUCCCUGGUAGCACGGUCGCCUAGUUGUUUAUUUGGAUUUUAGAUCCGUUUCCCUGUUUCGGAGCUUCUACAACUUGAAAAGUUGGCUUCGGACAUAACUUUAGAAAAAUAACCUCAGAAUAAAAUUCUAACGAUUCCAUUAGCUCCAGAAUGGCCAAAUUAGGCUAGUAGCAUGGUCGGUAUGAGUAACGAGGAAACCGAUACGAGUUUGAAGCCAUUUGGCGUUUUUACCUUUGAAAUUUUUCCUAUAGUUAACUUUGGUAAACAUUUUUGGAAAACACACUCGGAUGAAAAUUUUGACAGCACGGUUAGUUCUGAAAUGUCUAAUUUGUUCUAGAACGAUCCUUCGUUCUCUUUCCGAGACUUUUGAUCUAAUCCCGAGUCCCAUUGUGGAAUUUGGCCCAAAAUGGCCCUUGGGUGUGGGACCCACUUUUAGCAGUAACGACUUUGUAUGGAAAUUUCAACUGCACCACUGAGUUCGAAAUAUCGAAUUUGGUGGGGUAGCAUAUCUCUCAUUUGCGUGCACGGGAUUGCAAACGAAUUUUGAGCACCCCAUUGGAAUACUUGAACUUAAGAAAUAUCAUCUUUUUAGCAAAUAUCUGGUCAGGGAAAAUUACUCUACGUGAUCGCGGUCCCUUGGCUGCAUUCAUGGAGGUCCGGGAUGUUGUUCUGCAUAUUCGCAGAGCCUUGACAUCAUUUGUGGAGAUGUAUGUCCUUUGCCUCCACCUUCGCGAGGGCUUGGCCGCAUUCACAGAGGUGUGAGAGCUUUCCCUCCACAUUUGUGGGCCUAUGGAUGCAUUCGCAAACUUCAAGUUUCUUGACCUCCGUAUUCGUGCACCAUUGUAGCCGCGUUCGCGAAGGCCAUUUUUGGUCUGUCACUUAGAAUAAAAGUACUUUGCAAAAUAGCUUUGUAUCAUUUUUCUAAGGGCGAUUUGUCUCUCGUUUGGAGAUCAAUUUAGGCGAUUCAAGUCCAAGUACAAGGGAACUUUGUGGGGAAUCAGUUGAUGAGCUCAGAAUCGUGAGGGGAGGCUUUAUGUGAGGUUUUUGCUCAUUUUGACACCAAUGGAAGUGAUUCUUUGGGCCAAAAUGUGGGGUUUUCUUCAAGGAUGAUCGUGGUUCUAUUGGUUUAGGUCGAGGGAGCAUCAAUUUUGUGUGGCAGUGUUCUGAGGUCAUUCGGAAGGGAAAAGCUUCGGCAUAGUGAUUUCGAGCUCGCGUGAUCAGCCUACAGCUGAAUCAUUGCGGAGGAGAUUCUCGGAAUGGUUAUUGUCCAAUUGGAAGGGAGAAUAUUCGGCACCAAGUGAUGAAUUAUCUGUAAUCCUCCAGGACCGAGCACCAACUAUCGAUGAGGAUAGAUCGAGCCAGUUGUAGACCGCUUCGGAGACAGGGUUAGCAUUUUCCAUUUUGAGAUAAUUUUUGUCUCCUUCAGCUUGGAUGUCUCAUCUUUUGCAUUUCUGAGACUAGCCUGUUGAUGUAUAUAUUUUGGUCCACUUUUGGGACUUUUACUCGUCUUUAUGUUAUAGCAGCUUUGUACUUGUGACCUCCAGAUUCUAGGAGGGAUCUUUAAUUGUAUA